rnacentral:tRNA from 1 species
GGAAAGGCGGCUGUAGAAGUGUUAAGUUGUAGCCUUAGUUAUGAGGAUUGCGGUUCCUUCCUUUCUA